AAUUAUCUCUCCCCCCCCUGGGAGGGAUAAAUUACCGCGGGUUUGUCCUCCAACCCCGUGGAACACACCCAUAAAAAGAGGGUUUGUCGGGCAGAGAGUCCUUGAGCCUCCCGGCCUCCCGCCCCCGGGCGGGUCGGCGCCCGCCGGAGGAUAACCAAACUCUGAUUUAACGACGUUUCUUCUGAGUGGUACAAGCAAAUAAUCAAAACUUUUAACAACGGAUCUCUUGGUUCUGGCAUCGAUGAAGAACGCAGCGAAAUGCGAUAAGUAAUGUGAAUUGCAGAAUUCAGUGAAUCAUCGAAUCUUUGAACGCACAUUGCGCCCGCCAGCAUUCUGGCGGGCAUGCCUGUUCGAGCGUCAUUUCAACCCUCAAGCUCUGCUUGGUGUUGGGGCCCUACAGCUGAUGUAGGCCCUCAAAGGUAGUGGCGGACCCUCCCGGAGCCUCCUUUGCGUAGUAACUUUACGUCUCGCACUGGGAUCCGGAGGGACUCUUGCCGUAAAACCCCCAAUUCUCCAAAGGUUGACACUCGGAUCAGGUAGGAAUGCCGCGCUGAACUUAAGU
rnacentral:rRNA from 1 species